ACAUUCAGCACCUACAGCUUCCAUCGAGAUGUCGCACAAUACACUCAAUUCCUGGACAUCAGAAGCGAUGCCGACAUCUUUGGGCGUGUCUGUUCGACGAACAUAUGGCUUCAAAUGGCGAACAUUCAACCUGUCAACCAAUCUGGACACUCUUUUGGCUGUCAUGGACUCCACCUUAAACGGUCCAGCCCAACGUUCCUCUGCAGCGUCUCUUCACUGUUCGCGAUCUCAAAGUCAUCUACCUUUGGAUCGGCGCUGCUGCCGUGAUGAACCCGAUAAAUUGCAAAAUAUGGGCUCACCUUUGUGGAACGCUGCUUCGAGGUGUUUAUCGAAUAAACAGCGUGUUGCAGAUAGACGUCCCAGUCAUUCCGCUCCUCAUUACAGUACUUUGCAAGAUGCCGCUUAAUGUUCUGGUUUGAGCGCUCAUCUUGCCCAUUGCGCUGCGGGUGGUAGGCUGAAGUUACAGCAUGCUCUAUCCCAAAGGUUUCAAAAAGAGCUUUGUUACAGUCAUUAACAAACUCUCAGUUUAUGUUAUUUAACGCUACAGAUUACACCUAACACACGUGUAAUUCAGUUGCUAUUAAUGUUGAACAGCAACGUUAAACGUGACACCACAUUAAAUGUCAGGCAAACGACGUUGCAGCUCAGCGGGAAAAGUAGAGGUCCUGGUAUUAGCCAAUCAAAUAAAUGGUGUUUUCCGUUCCUGCCUGGUAACUCAUCUUAACCAAUCAACAUUCUAGAAUUACAUCCGUAUGCGGAUCGUUUUUGAGUCAACCCAUCGUCUACUUACAGGUUCCACUACUGGGUUCAGUGUUGUUGCUAAUGAGGCGAUAAUUGGUGUGACACACCUCAAGACUUCCUCUUACCUGGAAGUCUGUGAAAGGGAUACCAGCAUUGCUACCCUUGUGUGCGCCCAUUACUGCUGUGUUGCAGGUGCAAUAAAGUGGUGACAGAUUAACGUCCACGACUCCACUGCAUGUACUUUUGACCACCCAGAGACAUUUUAUUUAUAAUUAUUUAUAAUUAUUGUAGCGGGCUGGUUAGAGUCCGUUACACAUCUAUCUGUCUAAACAAGUUACUGAACAAAACCUGGUGGUGUUCUUUGUUUGUCGUUUUUCAUUGUAACCUAAUGUUUUGUUUUUGUUUUAUUUGUACAUCAUGAUUUGUAAAUAAAGACACUUUGUGACAAAAUAUAGGG
ensembl:lncRNA